CUCUACCAAAUAGUCAGAUGCUGACAGCUCAAGGGCUGUCUCCCAGUACAUGGUAGGUAAAGGACUGCUUUUCCUUGCCAUAGGCAAAAAAUUAAAACUGUGCACACACCGAUAGUAGGCAUAUCCGAAUUCCGUGUGUGC
rnacentral:ncRNA from 1 species